rnacentral:sRNA from 1 species
AUCUUCACGGUGAUGCCGCGCCCGGUCUCAAAUCCCGCCUCUUUAAGCCACUCGCCCUUAAGAUGCAGGCUGGGACUACGUGAAUAUCCCGUAGGGACUUUAGUUUUACGGUUAGUGUGGGAGAUGC